UAUAACAUAUCUUUUUUAAAUUUUUUUAAUCUUCUUACUUGGAAGGCAAGCGUACUAUAUCAUACUCAAAAGAU
rnacentral:tRNA from 1 species